rnacentral:rRNA from 1 species
ACGGGAGGCAGCAGUGGGGGAUAUUGCACAAUGGGGGAAACCCUGAUGCAGCGACGCCGCGUGAGUGAUGAAGUGUUUCGGUAUGUAAAGAUCUAUCAGCAGGGAAGAAAAUGACGGUACCUGACUAAGAAGCACCGGCUAAAUACGUGCCAGCAGCCGCGGUAAUACGUAUGGUGCAAGCGUUAUCCGGAUUUACUGGGUGUAAAGGGAGCGGAGACGGAAUGGCAAGCCAGAUGUGAAAGGCUGGGGCUCCACCCCGGGACUGCAUUUGGAACUGUCAAGCUAGAGUAUCGGAGAGGUAAGUGGAAUUCCUAGUGUAGCGGUGAAAUGCGUAGAUAUUAGGAGGAACACCAGUGGCGAAGGCGGCUUACUGGACGAUAACUGACGUUGAGGCUCGAAAGCGUGGGGAGCAAACAGGAUUAGAUACCCUGGUA